UAGACCGAAGCUGUUCCUAUUCGGCCAUCUUGGCUCCUCCCUCCCGGUAGUUCUUAUAUGAUUGAAUGUUUGCAUUUAUUUCUGUAUUUCAUUAGAAUUUCACAGGCAAACUUGGGGGAUGGCAGUGUUAGUAUUCUCUCAGGAUAAUCUGGAAGAUAUUUUUAAAAACUUUUGGUUAGCCAGACAAUUCAAUUCACCAAAAGUUUACUACAUGUCUUAGGAUGUUUUCAGCUGGAAAAGCAAAAUGGAACAAAAUUUGAAAGUGGCUUAAACAAUAAAGGAUUUGUUACUUUACAUAAUAUCACAUCUGAAAGUGGACGUUUUCAUAGUGUGCUAAUCCAGUCCUCUUCUAAAUGAUCCAGGAGUCUCGAACCUUUCUACUCUGGAGGCAUUGCCUCUCCUCGUCUUUGCUGAAGCCAGAGGUCAUGUGCUCACACAAUCAUAUGGAGAAGCAUAAAUGAGCUAUUUCUCAUCACCUAGCUCUUUUUAUCAGGAUUAAAAAUCUUUCCUCAAAAAGUCCAGAAGCAUACUUCCCUCUAGCCUAGUUGGCCAGGAUUACAUAACAUGCCUCCGAUGGAACCAAUCACUGGUGAAGGGAGUGCAAUUAUUGUGAUUCUAGAUUAACUGUAAUAAUUGACAUUCACCCCCUGGAGCUGGGAUAGAAAGCCGAUUUACAGCAUCGCUGAGCAGGAAAAAAGAGAUGGCUGUUGAACAGGAGGCAACAUGCAAUGACAUAAUUAAUUGUUAAUGGAAUUCUAGCCAAAAGGAUGUGGGAGGAGAGGAAGGAGCCACAAAGGGAGAAUCAUGCCUAAGAGUUAACUAUGGUACUCUGAAGCAGAACAGAGACAGCAAAAGCCAAGAUCUUUGAUUAUCAGCAGACCUGCACUACAAGAUGUGUAAAGACAGCUCUUCAGGCAGAAGGAAUUUUACGAGAGAGAAAUUUUGAUGUAUACAAAGAAUGAAGAUUUCUGGAAGUGAUGAAAAUAAAGAUAAGUAUAAAAGUUUUUUCUUUUUAAUUACUCUAAAAGAUUAUUGGUUUUCUAAAGCAAAAAUAAGAGUGAUGUAUUUUGGCAUAUGCAAAAUUAAAAUGUGUGACCGCAAUAGCAUCACUAGUUAUGGGAGGGAGGAAUUGGAAGCAUGUGCUAUAAGGUUUUUAAAGCCUUCGAAGUAGUGUGAUAUUGUUUUAGUAAGACUGUGCUUUAUUUUUAUUUUUAUUAUUGAGAUAGGGUCUCAUUCUGUUGUCUAGGCUGGAGUGCAGUGGUGCAAUCUCAGCUCACUGCAACCUCCACUUCCCAGGUUCAAGCGAUUCUUGUGCCUCAGCCUCCUGAGUAGCUGGGACUAUAGGCACUCGCCAUCACGCCUAGCUAAUUUUUGUAUUUUUAGUAGAGAUGGGGUUCCACCACGUUGGCCAGGCUGGUCUCAAACUCCUGACCUCAGAUGAUCCACUUGCCUCAGCCUCCCAAAGUGCUGGGAUUACAGGCAUGAGCCACUGCGCCCGGCCUAAGACCGUGCUUUAUUAAUGAUGCACAUUAUAAAGCUUGAAACAGCUACUAAAAAUAAAACAUUUCUAAAAGAUAUAUGAAUAAUAGGCCAAAAGUGUAGAUAAGAUUGAAUGUAAAAAGAUAACCAAUCCAAAGCAAGCAGAAAAAGAGGAGCAAAGGAUGGACAGAAAAAUUUAAAACAACUAACAAAAUGGUAGGUUUUAAUAAGAAUAUAUCAAUAAUUAUAUUAAACAAAUUGUCUAAACAUAACAAAAGACACAGAUUAUCAAAUUUAAUAAACAAGCAACUCAUCAACUCUAUAUAGUCUUUAAGAAACUCAUUUUAAAUACAGGUUAAAAUUAAAAGAAUAGAAAAAGAUGGAUUAUAAAAACACUGAUCAAAAGAAAGGUGAAGGGACUAAAUAUCAAAGUAGACUUUAGAACAAAUGUUAUCAGGAAUCAUGAGGAACAUGACAUAAUGAUAAAGAAGACAUGGCAAUCAUAAAUGCGUAUGAACCUAACAAUGGAGCUUCAAAAUACAUUAAGCAAAAACUAAUGGAAUUAAAAGGGAAAUUGAUAAAUCCAUAAUUAUAGUUGGAAAUGUUAAUUUUCUUCUCUCAGUAAUUAAUAGAACAGAUAAAUUUUAAAUAUCAAUAACUUUAGAGAACAUGUGAGUAACACUGUCAACAAACUUAACCUACUUGGCAUUAGUAGAACAUUCUAUCCCACAAUAGAACAAUAGCACAAUACACAUUAUUUUCAAGUGCAAAUGGAAGUACACCAAGAUUGCCAUUUUCUUACUCAUAAAACAAACUUUAGCAAAUUUAAAAGAAUUGAAAUCAUACAAACCAUAUUCUCUGAUCGUACUGAAAUUGAUCUAGAAAUCAACAGAAAAAUACCUGGAAAAUUAUGGGGAAAAUGGAAAUUAAACAAUGCAGUUCUAUGUAAUCUAUGACUCAAUGAGUAAGGCAUAAUGGGAAUGAGAAAAUGUUUAAAAAUGAAUGAUAAUAAAAACACAAUAAAUUAAAAUUUGUGUAAUGCAUCUAAAGCAGUAAUGAAGGGAAAGUUAUAGCAUUAAAUGCUUAUAUAAGACAAGAAGAAAGACCUCUCAUCAGUAAUAUGGGUUUUCAUCUUAAGGAACUAGAAAGAGAAGAACAUAUUAAACCCAAAGCAGAAAGCAAGAAAUCAUAAAGAUCUGUGCAAAAAUCAGUGGAAUAGAAAACAGAGUAACAACAGAGAAAAUCAAUGAAAUCAAAAGCUUGCUCUUUGAGAUCAAUAACACUGAUGAAUCUCUAGUUAUGCUGAUCAGAGAGGGAAGCCAAAAAUAAUCAAUACUGGGGAUGAGAGCAGUGAAAUCACUACAUAGUCCACAGUAAUUAAAAGAUAACAAGGGGAUAUAUGAGCAACGUCAUGCCAAUAAAGUUGUUGCCACGGCUGAGUGUUUUAGGGGAGUGUUUGGCUGGAUGUUUUAGGGCACUGAUUGACUAUAGAUAAAAUAUUUUUUGUGGGUGAUGGAACUAUUCUAUGUCUUGAUUAUAACAUACAGCUGCACAGAUGUAUGUGUUUGUCAAAAUUUAUAGGACUGUACAUUAAAAUUGUUGAAUUUUAUCUUAUUUAAAUAAAUUUGUUAGUGCAGUUUAAGGCACUGUAUUGUGUCUCAGUCAUCCUUAACAUAUGUCGUAGCCAUAUAUAACUUUUGGACUUUUUCUUCUCUUGUUUUCAAUUUACAUAGAUUAAAAGAAUUGUUAGAUAUCAAAACAUUUAUUUAUUAAAACUUCUUGUCAUAGACUGGAGGAGAAUAUACAGCCAUGAAAACUACGUACAAUAUGGCGUCUUGAAUUGGAUCCUGGAGCAGACAAUGGGAUUACUGGGAAAACUGGUGAAGACUGGAAAAUAGAAAAAAUAGAGUCUCCAGGGAACUAAAAAUAGAAUUAAUGUACAGUUCAGCAAUCUUGCUGGGUAUCUACUCAAAGGAGAAGAAAUCAUUAUAUUAAAAAAUAGCUGUACUUCUAUGUCUAUUGCAGCAUCAUUCACAAUAGCAAUGAUACGAAAUCAAUCUAAAAUGUCCAUCAGUGGAUGACUGGAUAAAGAAAAUGUGGUAUUUAUGCAUACAGACACAUACACACAUAUACACACACACAAUAGAAUACUGUUGAGCCAUAAAAAAGAAUGAAAUCAUGUUCUUUUGCAGCAACAUGGAUGGUACUUGAGGCCAUUAUUUUAAGUAUAACCGCUCAGAAACAGAAAGUCAAAUACUGCACAUUCUUACUUAUAAGCGGGAGCUAAAUAAUGUGUACACAUUGACAUAGAGUGUGGAAUAAUAGACAUUAGACAAUCAGAAGGGUGAAACGGUGGUAAGAGGGUAAGGGAUUAGAAAUUACUUAAUGGGUACAAUGUACGUUACUCAGGUGAUGCAUACACUAAAAGCCCAGACUUCGCCACUGCACAAUAUAUCAAUGUAACAAAACUGCACUUAUACGCCUUAAAUUUAUACAAAUAAAAAAAUUUAAAAAUAGAG
rnacentral:lncRNA from 1 species